rnacentral:snRNA from 1 species
AACCUGUCAACGGUUAGCUUGC